rnacentral:rRNA from 1 species
AACGAACGCUGCGGCAUGCCUCACACAUGCACGUCGAACGAGACCUUCGGGUCUAGUGGCGCACGGGUGCGUAACGCGUGGGAACCUGCCCUUAGGUUCGGAAUAACUCCCCGAAAGGGGUGCUAAUACCGGAUAAUGUCUUCGGACCAAAGAUUUAUCGCCUUUGGAUGGGCCCGCGUUGGAUUAGCUAGUUGGUAGGGUAAAAGCCUACCAAGGCGACGAUCCAUAGCUGGUCUGAGAGGAUGAUCAGCCACACUGGGACUGAGACACGGCCCAGACUCCUACGGGAGGCAGCAGUGGGGAAUAUUGGACAAUGGGCGAAAGCCUGAUCCAGCAAUGCCGCGUGAGUGAUGAAGGCCUUAGGGUUGUAAAGCUCUUUUACCCGGGAUGAUAAUGACAGUACCGGGAGAAUAAGCUCCGGCUAACUCCGUG